UAUAUUGACAAUUUUUGCCACAUGUCAAUAGAUACUAUUUCCUCCUCAAACCCUAAGACAAAAAUCCGCUGGAUCCUCAACUUCGUGUUCCUCCUCCUCUAAAUCAAGGACAAGCACCACCCCUGAAAGUAGAAGCAAACCAAGGGGCUUCCCCCUAUCCAAGGAUGAAUCAAUAUGAUUUCCGGAGGUACUACUAAUGGUGAUACGAUCAUGCAAAAGGUAUAAUCGGGAGAAAUACAUGAUUGUCCAUCUACCUGAAGCAAAGACCGGACCUGUCUUAGGGUUCAGUUCCGGUGACUUGAAGGGUGUCAUCUUCUCACACAAUGAUGCUAUGGGAAUUGAAGAUGAACCAUGGACUAAAAUUUGAAUCAAACCAAAUGAAUCCAAUGCCAAGGUUGAGGAGAAUUGGUCCAAGAUUUAAGGGAUUCACUUGAAGCAUCAAUCAGUUCAUCUAUUGGAGCUGGUUCAAUUUAGAGUCUUGUUCAAGAUUGAAGGAGUGUUCGGUUCAAAUUAAAGUUCAUUUAAUUUGAGAAUGGUUUAACCUGGUUGAAUUUGAAACUUGGUUCAAACUUAAGAGGAGGCUAGUUUAAUUGAAGCAAUGAACCAGUUCAUCUCAAGGAUCAUCUGCCGGUUCAAGGGAUGGUGGCUACUUCUCCUCACAAAAGAAUUGAAAUACAAGUCGAUCCACUCUCUUCACCACUGCCGGUCGACCAUUCCCUCUCCAUCUCUCAACAUGAGUUCUUCUCACGCUGUCAGCCGCCCCUUGUGAUUUUCUGCCUUGACGCACAUCAAUGCCACUAGCACUUUUCCAUCACUACAUGUCGGAUUCAUCUUUGCUUCCUCCAUUCGGGCUAAAAGGGAGGAGACUCACCUCUUCUCCUCGGGUUAGAGGAGAGGAGAGCCAAAACCCCCUCUUCGGGUUAGAGGAGAGGCUUCUUCCACCUCUGCUUUUGAUUAGAAGAGUAGUAUGCCAACCACCUCCGAUCAGUUCACAAUCCUUCUAGUCGACACAGCAUCAACCCCUCUUAGCUUCUAACAACCCUCUUCCACUCUCCUCUUGGGGCUAGAAGAGGAGAGGGCAACACCUUCACCAUCAAGUUCAAGGUUACGAGCUUGAUUCGUUCACCGUUCAUUUGAGAGGAGUUCCAUCUACAACCGCCAUCAUCCACAAGAUCCAAUUGAAGUUUUGGGUUCAUCCAUAAACACUUGAUAAAGGAAAAGUUAAAGUAUAAAGAGGAAGGCGACAAGGAGGAUGCGUGAUGGAUGGUG